rnacentral:rRNA from 1 species
GACGUAGGGCGCGAGCGUUGUCCGGAAUUAUUGGGCGUAAAGAGCUCGUAGGCGGUCUGUUACGUCUGCUGUGAAAACCCGGGGCUUAACCCUGGGCUUGCAGUGGAUACGGGCAGGCUAGAGUUCGGUAGGGGAGAUCGGAAUUCCUGGUGUAGCGGUGAAAUGCGCAGAUAUCAGGAGGAACACCGGUGGCGAAGGCGGAUCUCUGGGCCGAUACUGACGCUGAGGAGCGAAAGCGUGGGGAGCGAACAGG